GCUGGUGCUGAAGCGGCGGGGGUACACCUCUUAAUCAUUCCGAACAGAGUAGUUAAGCCCGCCAGCGCCGAUGGUACUUGGAGCAUAGCUCCCGGGAGAGUAGGUCGGCGCCAGCA
rnacentral:rRNA from 1 species